UGUAUUUUGUGUCUGUUAAUGAGCGACUGUCUUCAGGUAAAUGAUGUGAGUGUGUUUGCAUAUUGCUCAGAUGCUUCAGUGCUCUGAGAGUGUUUAUAGUGCUGUGAGUUUAACACUUCAUCACUGACAUACACAACAAUCUUCAUCAACAUGACCUUCAUCAUCAUCUUCAUCUGGACUCUCACAGCGUUUGCUCAAGAGAGUAGAGGACAGAUCAGCGUCACUCAGAGUCCCUCAACAGCAGCUCAACCAGGAGAAACAGUGAAGAUCAGCUGUAAGACCAGCAAGGAUGUGUUUAAUGAUGGUUCUGAUGAUUAUUUAUCCUGGUACUUACAGAAACCUGGAGAAGCUCCUAAACUCCUGAUUUAUUAUGCAAACACUCUCGAGUCAGGAACUCCAUCUAGAUUCAGUGGCAGUGGAUCUAACAGUGAUUUCACUCUGACCAUCAGUGGAGUCCAGACUGAAGAUGCUGGACAUUAUUACUGUCAGAGUUUUCACUGCAGAACAGAUUCUGAUGGUGAUUGUGUGGGUGACUAUGUGUUCACACAGUGAUAAAGUGUGGUACAAAAACCUGUGUCAGUCAGAGUCACAGUGACUGAACUGAUGCUGCAGCUGCUCAAACACUAUCACUCACUACUGACACACAGAGACCAAACACACAACUACACAUGAGCUCACAACUGAGUCUUUAACUGAUAUCAGAUCAAAACAAUUAUUGUGCAAUAUGCUGAUUUGGUUUUGUACAUCACAUUUUGCACAUUAAACUCUCAAUCAUUAAACUAGCUUCUUCAUCUCAAGCUAAUGAUGAAUUUCUUACUCAUAACUCAUUUCUGAUGAGCAGAAGUGAAACUGUUCCAGUUCAGAGCGUUUAACCGAUCAAACAGAGAAACUGUGAGUUUGAGCUGAAAUCAGAUUUGCAUUUACAGCUUUAGUGAUUCUGAUGAUCUCAGAAUAGAGCAGCUCCGUCUCCAGAGACCAUGUUCAAACCCCAAGAGCUUCAGUUCACAUUUACUGCUAAACACAGCUGUUCUCAACUAUUACAAUCCAUCAACAGCAGCUGAAACUUUAGUGAAGGAAGGACACACUGAUCAAUGAUGCAGUCGGACACAAAUGGAAGGCGUUCAGAAGCUUUAUUGAAUGAACAGCAAUGGCAGCACAUUGAAAGACUGCUUGAGUAUUGAGCUGUAAAUCAGGAGACUGCUGUGAAUCCUGCUGCUCUUCACUGGAGAAACAUCAGCACUCGGAGCUCUUGAGGAACGAGGUCUCCUGAGCAGCUCCGUCAUGUGUUACUCUGCAGACGAAGCGCUCGGCGGCUUCCCAGCGUGCUUUGCUGAGGCUCAGGACGCUGCUGCGGCUGUAGCGUCCGUCCCGCUCGCUCUCUGCGCUGGUCUGAACCCCCUGGGUGACCUCUGACCCGUCCAGCGUCCAGCUCACCUGCGCCCCCUGUGGAGAGUAAGAGCUGAGCAGACAGAGCAGUGCGGCUGAGUCUCCAGAGAUCUGCAGAGAAGAGGGAGGCAGCAGAGA